UUUCUGAAGCCUCAAGAAGUCGAGUUUAUAUCAAUUCUUUCUAUCCUCGCUUUAUUUCCUUUUUCUUAAAGUCUUUAUGAUUGGUUAAACAUUUUCCUUUUUGUUAAUUUCCACUAAUGUUUACAGUUCUGGGAAGUGCUACAACUGACAUUAGUUUGUUCUUUCCUUGUCCCUUUGUCCCCUGUUUCUUCAUCUCUUCUUCCUCGCUUGUUUUCAGUGCAAUGAGAUUCUUUGAUGUCUUAAUGUUAUCAAGAUUAGAUCAGGAAAUAUAGUUUCUCAAAUAAAUAUGAUUUUGUGACUAUGAGCAAAUUAUGCUUUCUGAUAUGCCAUGGGCAAUGUACUUGAACUUCUUGCAUACAUGAGGGCAAGUGCUCGCUAAAUUGUGGUGUAUGGCUUGUGUUUUGAGGAAGAUUUAUUAUCUAACAUUUCAUGUUUUCUAAGCUUGUGCAAAACUCA
rnacentral:lncRNA from 1 species